rnacentral:rRNA from 1 species
GUCUUUUUGAAUUAAAUAAAAAGUCUGAUCUGCCCACUGAGUUAUUAAAUGGCCGCAGUAUAUUAACUGUGCAAAGGUAGCAUAAUCAUUAGUUUUUUAAUUGGAGACUUGUAUGAACGAUUGGACGAGAUAUAAACUGUUUCAAAUAAAUAAAUAGAAUUUUAUUUUUUAGUUAAAAAGCUAAAAUUUUAUUAAAAGACGAGAAGACCCUAUAGAUCUUUAUAUUAAAGUAUUUAUUAGUUUAUAGGUUUUAUUUAGCAAUAUUUAUUUUAUUAUUUUAUUGGGGUGAUAUUGAAAUUUACAUAACUUUUAAUUUUAAUUAUUCCAUUAAUUUAUGAUUAUAUGAUCCUUAAAUAGAGAUUAAAAAUUUAAGUUACCUUAGGGAUAACAGCGUAAUUAUUUUGGAGAGUUCUUAUCGAUAAAAUAGUUUGCGACCUCGAUGUUGGAUUAAGAUUAAUGCUAGGCGUAGCAGUUUAGGUUAUUGAGUCUGUUCGACUUUUAAUUUCUU